rnacentral:rRNA from 1 species
UACAGAGGUCCCGAGCGUUGUUCGGAUUCACUGGGCGUAAAGGGUGCGUAGGUGGUGAGGUAAGUCGGAUGUGAAAGCUCCAAGCUCAACUUGGAAAUGGCAUUGGAAACUACCUUGCUAGAGGGUUUGAGGGGGGACUGGAAUACUUGGUGUAGCAGUGAAAUGCGUAGAUAUCAAGUGGAACACCCGUGGCGAAGGCGGUUCUCUGGGACGGUACUGACGCUGAGACGCGAAAGCGUGGGGAGCGAACAGG